AGUCUUCUUAAACUUUGACUGUGGAUGAAAGAAGAAGAGCUGAAGUUCAAGUCAGGAGAACGCAACUCUCGGGGUUGAAACAGGAAGUGAGAUCCAACGGUGACGUUGUCUACCUCAAAUAAAUGCGCCAAACGAACAAGUGAAGGGAAGAAGAGCUGGAGGAGGAGGAGAAGGUGGAGCCUGCUGAUGCUGCAAUUAAGAACCUCAUUGUCUGCCGGACCAGCGAAGAAGAUUGCAUAUUUCAGUCCGUCGCUAGCGGUGUACAGUGAGGGCUAGACACACCUACACACACAAACUGACAAAUCAUUGCAAAAGCUUCCGGAAUCAUCACCAACCUCCACCAGACAAAAAAAAAAAAAAAAAAAAAAUGCAGUUCUGCUCCUACAACCCCCCUCGUAAAGGCUAAUGGCUAGUAAAGAAAAUGCACACGUCUGUUACUGAAUUCCAGCUAUUACCCACUUCCACAUACUUUGUAACUUGAGUUGAAUUCUUGCCCAGUGAAUAAAAAUUGCAGGUUACAGUGUCA